rnacentral:rRNA from 1 species
GAUGAACGCUGGCGGCGUGCCUAAUACAUGCAAGUCGAGCGAAUGGAUUAAGAGCUUGCUCUUAUGAAGUUAGCGGCGGACGGGUGAGUAACACGUGGGUAACCUGCCCAUAAGACUGGGAUAACUCCGGGAAACCGGGGCUAAUACCGGAUAACAUUUUGAACCGCAUGGUUCGAAAUUGAGAGGCGGCUUCGGCUGUCACUUAUGGAUGGACCCGCGUCGCAUUAGCUAGUUGGUGAGGUAACGGCUCACCAAGGCAACGAUGCGUAGCCGACCUGAGAGGGUGAUCGGCCACGCUGGGACUGAGACACGGCCCAGACUCCUACGGGAGGCAGCAGUAGGGAAUCUUCCGCAAUGGACGAAAGUCUGACGGAGCAACGCCGCGUGAGUGAUGAAGGCUUUCGGGUCGUAAAACUCUGUUGUUAGGGAAGAACAAGUGCUAGUUGAAUAAGCUGGCACCUUGACGGUACCUAGCCAGAAAGCCACGGCUAACUACGUGCCAGCAGCCGCGGUAA